AUUCGCGGCCUAUCAGCUUGUUGGUGGGGUGAUGGCCUACCAAGGCGACGACGGGUAGCCGGCCUGAGAGGGCGACCGGCCACACUGGGACUGAGACACGGCCCAGACUCCUACGGGAGGCAGCAGCGGGGAAUAUUGCACAAUGGGCGAAAGCCUGAUGCAGCGACGCCGCGUGAGGGAUGACGGCCUUCGGGUUGUAAACCUCUUUCAGCAGGGAAGAAGCGAAAGUGACGGUACCUGCAGAAGAAGCGCCGGCUAACUACGUGCCAGCAGCCGCGGUAAUACGUAGGGCGCAAGCGUUGUCCGGAAUUAUUGGGCGUAAAGAGCUCGUAGGCGGCUUGUCACGUCGGUUGUGAAAGCCCGGGGCUUAACCCCGGGUCUGCAGUCGAUACGGGCAGGCUAGAGUUCGGUAGGGGAGAUCGGAAUUCCUGGUGUAGCGGUGAAAUGCGCAGAUAUCAGGAGGAACACCGGUGGCGAAGGCGGAUCUCUGGGCCGAUACUGACGCUGAGGAGCGAAAGCGUGGGGAGCGAACAGGAUUAGAUACCCUGGUAGUCCACGCCGUAAACGGUGGGCACUAGGUGUGGGCGACAUUCCACGUCGUCCGUGCCGCAGCUAACGCAUUAAGUGCCCCGCCUGGGGAAUCGUCCACCCUGC
rnacentral:rRNA from 1 species